CGCGGAGUGGAGCAGUCCGGUAGCUCGUCGGGCUCAUAACCCGAAGGUCGUUGGUUCAAAUCCAGCCUCCGCAACCA
rnacentral:tRNA from 3 species